ACUAUUUUGGCAGAUAAUAUGUACUAGAUUUAGGAUUUAGAUAAAUAGAAGUAAUUCUAUAAAUAGUA
rnacentral:tRNA from 1 species